UGCUACGGGAGGCAGCAGUGGGGGAUAUUGGACAAUGGGGGGAACCCUGAUCCAGCGACGCCGCGUGAGUGAAGAAGUAUUUCGGUAUGUAAAGCUCUGUCAGCAGGGAAGAAAGCAAUGACGGUACCUGACCAAGAAGCCCCGGCUAACUACGUGCCAGCAGCCGCGGUAAUACGUAGGGGGCAAGCGUUAUCCGGAUUUACUGGGUGUAAAGGGAGCGUAGACGGUGCGCCAAGUCUGGAGUGAAAUGCCGCAGCUUAACUGCGGAACUGCUUUGGAAACUGGCGAACUAGAGUGCGGGAGGG
rnacentral:rRNA from 1 species